rnacentral:tRNA from 1 species
GCGGGCGUGGUUCAAUGGUAGAAUGUGGGCUUCCCAAGCCUGAGACGAGGGUUCGAUUCCCUUCGCCCGCACCA